UGAUUGUGGGGUGUGGCCCCGAGACCCCUGGGCACUGCUGGGAAGUUUUCUCCCAUCACCAGUCACCACGUGGACUCUCUCCCCACCCCAUGUGCUCCCCUUUGCCAGGGCUCUCUAGAAGCUGGCUCAUGGGGCCUCUUGCCCACGAUUGCCUCUUCCUGCAGAGGCCAGGGGUACCCACAGCUGGCUGUCAGUGGGCACUGCUGCCCCCACCCAAGGAUCUGAGGUGUGUGUGUGUGUGUGUGUGUGUGUGUGUGUGUGUGUGUAUGUGUGCAUUCGAAACUCAGAGGCAACCUCAACUGCCUAGUUGGCGGCAGUGGCAGUGUAGAGCAGUGGUCUCCAACCCUGGGUCCAACCCAGGGUCAGGUGAGGAGGUUGGAAGCCCCUGGCCUGCCACCUGGUCAGAGGCACGUUUACUGGUCUGUGGACAUGCUGGUCAGGGUGGUGUGUGGUGUGGAGGGCUGGAGGACGCUGCCCUCGACCCAGCCUCUGCCCUCCCUCCUGGUAUCUGGCCACUGUCAAGGGCGCUGGGGGGUGAGGCCAGGACACCGGCCUCUCAGCUGCAUGAGGAUGGAGUAACAUUGAGCUGCCUUGGCCAGCACGGGUACAAGCUGGACACCAGAAAAUGCAGGGCCCUAUACGGCCGCCACCAUCAUCCCUGGAGACACCUGGGCUGACAGGGAGUGUGUGGCGUGGAGCCUGUCCUACUGAGAAGGGACACAAGGGUCCAGCCUGGCCAUGGGGCUCAGGAUUUGGGGCCAGUGAUGCCCGGGGCUGCUGAGCCAUCCAGAGCACUGCUGGGCGCUGCCUGCCACCAGUCCACAGAUGAGUGGAAUAUCUGGAGUGUGUCCUCCCUUCGAAUGAUCUCACUGAACACGAUGCCCUCCAGUUCAUCCCUGUAGUUCGAAUCGCAUGGUUUCCGCCUUCUUGUGGCCAUACCCGAAUCCAUUGUGCUUAUUGUGCUUACAGAUGAUACCUCUGUGCGUGCCCCUGCUGUUGGGUAUUUGGGCUGUUCCCAUAGCCUGGCUGCUGUGCCAAGUGCUGCAAUGAACAUAGGUGUGCAUAGAGCUUUACAAAUUAACGUCUUUGUGUUUGGGGGUGGGGGUAGAGGUCAAGAAGUGGCAUCAUUGGGUCAUACGGAAGCUCUGUUCUUACUUUCCGAGAAGGCGCCAUACUGUCUCCCAUAAAGACUGAUCCAGACGGUAUUCCUUUUUCCAUCACAACCAACCAUCCCUGCCAACCCUGGCCACAGUUCUGUGCUUGGGGCUUGCUCUUGGUGGAGCUCAGAAUACAAGCAGUGUGGGGAAUGGAACCCGGGGCUCCCACAUGUAAAGCUGUGGUGGCCCAUGGAGCAUCUCUCUGGCCCCUCUCCACUAUCCUUUCACUAGCUCAGCCUAUUCUGCAGUAUUUUCCUCCUGGCUGAUGGUGGGGAGGAACUGAUUCAGAUCUGAGACUUUUCCAAAGCCACCAUUCAAACAGCCUUUUCUGUUUAUGUACAUUUUUUUAAAUUUUGUGGUGGUGAGAGAUCAAACCCGGGGCCUGCUACAGAGCUAUUUAUGGAACAUUUUAUUUUCUUUUUAAUUGAAAAAUAAACUGCAUAUCACGAUGGUAAGAUA